UUUAAAUGUUAAUUUUAACCUGGGUAGUAAUAGUUAUGUUCUUGAAACCCAAAGAAUUUGGCGGUAUUUUAGUCCUUUCAGAGGAACCUGUCCCGUAAUCGACACCCCACGAGAAGAUGUACUUAUUUUUGUUUUCAGUUUGUAUACCUCCGUCAUCAGGGAAUCUUUUUAGAGAUUUAAUUUUCUUAAUAUAUUUUAUAUAAGAUGUCAGGUCAAGGUGCAGUUUAUGAAUAAGAGGAGAUGGGUUACAAUAAAUUUAUUUAUAUGGAUUGAUUCAUUUAAUUUUUCAUGAAGGUGGAUUUGAUAGUAAUAUUAAUUUUUAAUUAUAAUGAUUGUUGGCUCUAAAAUAUGC
rnacentral:rRNA from 1 species